UCUAUUAUGAAAAAUAUUAGCACUUGUACCAACCAUACCUAGAGCAAUUGGCUAAGAGUUUAAUGAUUGGUGCACAAAGUUUCCAGCUUGAAAUUUAGUUGCUUCACAAAUGUAGUUGCUUCACAUUUCUAGCGGAGCUCAUUUUUCUUUUUCUUUUUUUAAAAAACAACUCGUAGUCGUACAUCAAAUGAAAUGAGAUUAUGAUUGAAAAUAUAACGGACUGUAGGCAUAAUAACAAUAAUUUGAUUUAAGUAUUUUGGACUGAUGGUUUAGGUCCAACGAAUUGUUAUUGCUAGUUAGUCUGGUCAUUACAAUUAAUAUCAAAAGUCGAUUCCGUAGUCAAAAGUAUGAGGUGAGCCUCACAUUGACCGGUAAACUUUGGCUAUAUGUGAGCCUCACAAUGCCUAAUAACAAUAAUAAUAGCUGGACGUAAGAAUUUUUUGGCCGGUGGUUUGGAUUCAAUGAAUUAUUAUUGCUAGCGGGUCAGAUCAUUACAAUUGCACAACUAGGUGUGCUAAUGGAGAAAA
rnacentral:lncRNA from 1 species